rnacentral:rRNA from 1 species
CCUACGGGAGGCAGCAGUGAGGGAUAUUGCUCAAUGGCGGAAACCCUGAUGCAGCGACGCCGCGUGGGUGAAGACGCGCCUAGGCGCGUAAAGCCCUGUCAGCCGGGGAGAAAAUGACGGUACCUGAAGAAGAAGCCCCGGCGAACUACGUGCCAGCAGCCGCGGUAAGACGUAGGGGGCAAGCGUUAUCCGGAUUUACUGGGUGUAAAGGGGGCGCAGUCGGCGAUGCAAGCCAGGAGUGAAAGCCCCGGGCCCAACCCCGGGACGGCGCUUGGAACUGCGUGGCUAGGGUGCAGGAGGGGCAGGCGGAAUUGCUGGUGUAGCGGUGAAAGGCGUAGAUAUCAGGAGGAACACCGGUGGCGAGGGCGGCCUGCGGGACUGCAACUGACGUUGAGGCCCGAAAGCGUGGGGAGCAAACAGGAUUAGAUACCCUGUAGUC